rnacentral:rRNA from 1 species
ACGGGAGACACACGGCGGGUGCUAACGUCCGUCGUGAAGAGGGAAACAACCCAGACCGCCAGCUAAGGUCCCAAAGUCAUGGUUAAGUGGGAAACGAUGUGGGAAGGCCCAGACAGCCAGGAUGUUGGCUUAGAAGCAGCCAUCAUUUAAAGAAAGCGUAAUAGCUCACUGGUCGAGUCGGCCUGCGCGGAAGAUGUAACGGGGCUAAACCAUGCACCGAAGCUGCGGCAGCGACGCUUAUGCGUUGUUGGGUAGGGGAGCGUUCUGUAAGCCUGUGAAGGUGUGCUGUGAGGCAUGCUGGAGGUAUCAGAAGUGCGAAUGCUGACAUAAGUAACGAUAAAGCGGGUGAAAAGCCCGCUCGCCGGAAGACCAAGGGUUCCUGUCCAACGUUAAUCGGGGCAGGGUGAGUCGACCCCUAAGGCGAGGCCGAAAGGCGUAGUCGA